AGAGUUUGAUCCUGGCUCAGGAUGAACGCUGGCGGCGUGCUUAACACAUGCAAGUCGAACGAACCUUCGGGUUAGUGGCGGACGGGUGAGUAACGCGUGAGAAUCUGCCCUCAGGAGGGGGAUAACAGUUGGAAACGACUGCUAAUACCCCAUAUACCGAGAGGUGAAAUGAAUUUCGCCUGGGGAUGAGCUCGCGUCUGAUUAGCUUGUUGGUGGGGUAACGGCCUACCAAGGCUUCGAUCAGUAGCUGGUCUGAGAGGACGAUCAGCCACACUGGGACUGAGACACGGCCCAGACUCCUACGGGAGGCAGCAGUGGGGAAUUUUCCGCAAUGGGCGAAAGCCUGACGGAGCAACGCCGCGUGAGGGACGAAGGCCUUUGGGCUGUAAACCUCUUUUCUCAAGGAAGAAGAUCUGACGGUACUUGAGGAAUAAGCCACGGCUAAUUCCGUGCCAGCAGCCGCGGUAAUACGGGAGUGGCAAGCGUUAUCCGGAAUUAUUGGGCGUAAAGCGUCCGCAGGCGGCCGUUUAAGUCUGUUGUUAAAUCGUGGAGCUCAACUCCAUCACGGCAAUGGAAACUGUUCGGCUUGAGUAUGGUAGGGGCAGAGGGAAUUUCCGGUGUAGCGGUGAAAUGCGUAGAUAUCGGGAAGAACACCAGUGGCAAAAGCGCUCUGCUGGGCCAUUACUGACGCUCAUGGACGAAAGCCAGGGGAGCGAAAGGGAUUAGAUACCCCUGUAGUCCUGGCCGUAAACGAUGAACACUAGAUGUUGGGGGAAUCGACCCCCUCGGUGUCGUAGCUAACGCGUUAAGUGUUCCGCCUGGGGAGUACGCACGCAAGUGUGAAACUCAAAGGAAUUGACGGGGGCCCGCACAAGCAGCGGAGCGUGUGGUUCAAUUCGAUGCAACGCGAAGAACCUUACCUGGGCUUGACAUGCACUGGACCGCCGAUGAAAGUCGGUUUCCCUUCGGGGCCGGUGCACAGGUGCUGCAUGGCUGUCGUCAGCUCGUG
rnacentral:rRNA from 1 species